rnacentral:lncRNA from 1 species
AAAAGAUUACAUUACAAUUACACACAUAUUAGACAUUACAGCUGUACCCUUUUGUCGUGACUGUUGUUUAGGCAAACUACUCCUUGUUUUAAAGUGGAAUUUAAAUUGUAGAAUAAGAUCAUGUCUUAAUUAUGUGUGCAUGUGUGUAAACAUUUGUGUUGUAGGAGAAAGCUAAACCGUUCAGUGGAAUGUUCCGGAAACCUAACCAAAGCAAACCAGUAGACGCUACUCAACCGGAGGAGGUAAAAGUGUCUACUUCGGUCACAUUAUUGUCUAUUAAACCGAUACCAAGAUAACAAUGAAUUUGCUUGAACAAUAGUCUACUUAUGGUCUACCGUUUCAACAGUUUGAGCCUCAUUGAUACUUAAUCUGCCAAAAACCUUUGCUUGUGUCUAACUUAUUGAUAAUGUGUUCAUGUGUAGGAUAAAGAGUCACCAAACAGUGAUCUCCUGGCUAGCAACGAGAGCUUAUCAGAGACCAAGGUCAGUCAAGAGAAGGAACCAAAUGCCUGACAAUUGCAUGACAAUUUUUAUUCUACACAGACGUAGCUACUCAAUUAGCAUGUUUCCUGUAUUUGUCUAUCAGGAAAAGGGAGCUUUGUUUGGUGUAAUUCUCAAGAAGACUCCCAAAGCCACCGUAGAUGCCACCGAGGACAAAGAGGUCGACAAGAAACUCCCGGUCAGCCAUCACAAUCUCUCUGAGGGUAACACUGUGAAGGAGAAACACAUCUUUGGCGGUAUCUUUAAGAAGCCCCAGAAGACAACGCAAGAGGAAAGCUCCGAUAACGAGGUAAAGAGGAGGACGCUGUUAUUUGGUUUUAUAAACAAACCUGGAACACUUUAUAAUACCACUCAGUCAAAAGUCAUUUAUAAGCCUUUAGGCCUUUAG